GCGGCCACGCAAAACCUGCCGGACCGGGCCACUGAGCAUGCCCAGCCGGUGGGGGCGGGGCCUCCGCGAGGGGCGGGGCCAGGCCGGGUCCGACCCCCGCGCGGAAGGAAAAGCUCAGCUACCCAAGUAACUUGCUAGGCGGUUUCCGCCGCCGCGCGAUCCAUCCUGUUUGUUUUUAUCACAGAUCCGGCAGAAUUCUCCCCCUCCCCGCCCCCCGAGAACCUCAGACCCCUGUGUACUAGAGCUAUUUGACUUCCUACAGAGACUGGUCUACUCUCUCCUCAGCCAGCCCACCCCAGAUCAACCCCACGCAGGAGUGCGACAAGAAAGAUCGGCCUGGCCAAUACCCAACUGUGGGUUCUUUAGCCUCGCAAAGUAACAAUGGUCACAACUGUCACCAUGUGUCUCGACAUUGUUAGCCCAUUGGAGAUAGGUUUUUGUUUAAAGCACAACAGAAGCGUUCUAGAAGGCUCAGAACAAACCGACUGCCUUAAAUAAACCAGGUACAGAUCUGGACACUGAGGGGAACAAGCGCCCAGAGAUAAUCCCAGCCCCCUUCUCCUGCCUCGCUAGACAGGGAUCUCAAUAGAAUAUUUUGGGCUAUCAAGAUUGCUGAAAUUCUUGGCCCCUGAAGAAACAGAUCAGGCUGCCUGCCUUUCUAAACCAGAAAAGGAUAGACCCCGAAAGACAGGACAAUAAGAAGCAAGAAGGCACAGCCCGGCUAUCGUGAGUGUCCUCAAAUCCACGCACUGUAACUUGGGCACCAAGGUGACAAUUUGAAGAUGACUAAGACAUCAGGGUGGAAUCCUUGUAAAUAAAAUUAUGGACCUCAAUGCAAGAGUAAACUCUCUUGCCUUUCAUCUCCUCUGUCCAGCUGGAACACAAAUUCUUCCCUCCAGAAGACCUAGACACAAGGCGCCACAUUGGAAGCAGAAAGCAUCCCACACUGGUCACUGAAACAUGCCAGGCCCCUUGAUCUUGGGUUCCUCAAUGACAGAACUGUGAGAAAUAAACUUCUGUCACUUAUAAU